rnacentral:rRNA from 1 species
UACGUAGGGGGGCAAGCGUUGUCCGGAAUCAUUGGGCGUAAAGAGCGCGUAGGCGGUCCGGUAAGUCCGCUGUGAAAGUCGGGGGCUCAACCCUCGAAUGCCGGUGGAUACUGUCGGGCUAGAGUGCGGAAGAGGCGAGUGGAAUUCCUGGUGUAGCGGUGAAAUGCGCAGAUAUCAGGAAGAACACCAAUGGCGAAGGCAGCUCUCUGGGACGGUACUGACGCUGAGACGCGAAAGCGUGGGGAGCGAACAGG